CCAUGAAUCUCCCGGGGUAGAAUGGAUGUAGGCUACCCUGAUUUUAAUCAACAAGUAUAAAAAUGGCUAAGAAGUCCUUCAACCGGCAGAUUAAUGUUCUCAAACAUUAGUCUUCUAGUAGGCUACUAGAUGAACACGUUGAUGCACAACAGGUGUUGUAACCUUCGACCAGUUUUUAGAAAGUGAAAGUUGUCGCUGAAAGAGAAAGAACUGCUUUGCAGAGCUAACGUUAUAAGUUAAGGUCAGCAGAGCAAUUAACCCCCUGGUUCCCCUAGAGUAUUCUGCAAGUCUGAGGGCUUAAUCUUCUAUUCAGUAAGAUGGAGAGAUGGCGUGCUGUGCUGAGGUGUUGAGUGGCUGGGUGGUUUUGUGUGUGUGUGUGUGUGUGUGUGCGGCCUGCCUGCCUGCAGCUGACGUCUGUGGGGGAGGAGAGGUGCCAUGGAGGCCGCUGUGAGGGCUAGAGCAGAGAGGAGCCAGUGGCGAGAACACCCACGCACCACCUACAGCCCCUGCCAGGCCCGAGAGGAAAUGAAGAUAACUUGGUCAGAUGGAGAUCUGGAGAGAUGUAGAGUGAUUGAAAGAUUUUGUAUAACAGAUAUUGAGAUUGCAAUCAAGAUUUCAUAUGCACUAUAAGGCAAGCUUCAGUUCAAGAUUCACUAUUACAUUUAAAAAAUGUGUUUAGGCAUUACCAUUAAGAUAACAUUGAAAUAUGAGCUACUAUAUCUUUUAAUCCAAGGGUAAAACCAAAAAUAUAGAAAUUACUUCCAAAUAGCUUUAAGAUAGGCCACAUCUGAUUAGUGAGCAUGACUGUCUGUUAACCCUUAGAACCCGAUUGACGCAAAGUGCGUCAAAAAGACACCCUUUUUUCUC